rnacentral:rRNA from 1 species
CAGUCGCCACGGUAAAACGUAGGGUGCAAGCGUUAAUCGGAAUUACUGGGCGUAAAGCGUUCGCAGGCGGUUAUAUAAGACAGAUGUGAAAUCCCCGGGCUCAACCUGGGAACUGCAUUUGUGACUGUAUAGCUAGAGUACGGCAGAGGGGGAUGGAAUUCCGCGUGUAGCAGUGAAAUGCGUAGAUAUGCGGAGGAACACCGAUGGCGAAGGCAAUCCCCUGGGCCUGUACUGACGCUCAUGCACGAAAGCGUGGGGAGCAAACAGGAUUAGAUACCCGUGUAGUCCCUGUCUCUUAUAC